rnacentral:rRNA from 1 species
UUCCGGUUGAUCCUGCCGGACCUUACUGCUAUCGGGGUGGGACUAAGACAUGCGAGUCGAGCGUCUCUAGCUAUGUUGAGACGCGGCAGACGGCUCAGUAACACGUGGCUAACCUACCCUCAGGACGAGGAUAAACCCGGGAAACUGGGGCUAAUACUCGAUAGGUGAGAAUGUCUGGAAUGAUUUCUCAUUCAAAGGGCUUUAGAAACAUGCUUCUAAAGUCGCCUGGGGAUGGGGCCGCGUCCGAUCAGGUUGUUGGUGAGGUAACGGCUCACCAAGCCUAUAACCGGUACGGGCCGUGAGAGCGGUAGCCCGGAGAUGGGUACUGAGACAAGGACCCAGGCCCUACGGGGCGCAGCAGUCGCGAAAACUCCGCAAUGCACGAAAGUGUGACGGGGCUACCCCGAGUGCCAUCCGCUGAGGAUGGCUUUUCUUUGGUGUAACUAGCCGGGGGAAUAAGGAGAGGGCAAGACUGGUGUCGGCCGCCGCGGUAGUACCAGCUCUCCGAGUGGUAGGGAUGAUUAUUGGGCUUAAAGCGUCCGUAGCCGGCUUAGCAAGUCUCCUGUUAAAUUCAGCGACCUAAUCGUUGAGCCGCGGGAGAUACUACUAGGCUAGGAGGCGGGAGAGGUCGACGGUACUUCUGGGGUAGGGGUGAAAUCCUAUAAUCCCGGGAGGACCACCAGUGGCGAAGGCUGUUGACUAGAACGCGCUCGACGGUGAGGGACGAAAGCUGGGGGAGCGAACCGGAUUAGAUACCCGGGUAGUCCCAGCCGUAAACGAUGCGGGCUAGGUGUUGGGGUGGCUACGUGCCACUUCAGUGCCGCAGGGAAGCCAUUAAGCCCGCCGCCUGGGGAGUACGGCCGCAAGGCUGGAACUUAAAGGAAUUGGCGGGGGAGCACCACAAGGCGUGAAGCUUGCGGUUCAAUUGGACUCAACGCCGAA